AUUUCAUUGUUGGAUUGUGGCGCUUCACUCCUGCUGGCGGCCGGCAGGGGGCGGAGUUCGAGCCUGGAUUUUUUUCCUCGGGGCCUCCCCCGGGAGGCCGUCCCGGCGUGGGGGAGGGGAGGACGGCGCGGGAGGAAGCGGUUCGGUCGGCUGCAGCGCUACUUUUGGUCCGGGGUCGGCAGGGAGGCCGCGGCUACCGCAUCACAGCUGACGUGAGGACUACGUGGGGCCGCUGCCGGCUCCGGGUUGCUGGGCGGCGGCGCCGCUGCUGAGCGGCGGUCGGGCUCGCCGUCUCCACCUCCUCGCGUCCGUAAUCAGUGACGAGGUCCGCUACGUAAAUCCCUUUGCGGCGGACAAAUGACCAUGGAAACAGUUGAAUCCCAGCAUGAUGGAAGUAUAACAGCUUCUUUGACAGAGAGCAAGUCUGCUCAUGUGCAGACUCAGACUGGCCAAAAUUCAAUCCCUGCUUUAGCUCAGAGCUUCUGCUAAUCAAGAAUAUACUCUGAAAAUCAUCAGAGACCUAGCAAUUGUUGAGCUUGGUUUUGGCUGUCAGGCCCCUGUUCUGCUGAUGGAUUGAGGUGAGGUGCAGGUACACC
rnacentral:sRNA from 1 species